CUCACAGUACAAAAAAUCAAUUAAAUAAUUAGGCAAUUUGUGUUUAAUGCAAUUUUAUCUCUAGGAGAUUAGUGAUCUAGCGCUAAAUUGCCUUAAAAAGUAGUAAUACUAGUUUUUGUUUUAAUAAACAAUAAUUUUUACAAAAUUUAGCAUGAGUAUGUCCAACUAAAACCAAGCCAAUAGGCCACCCUAAUAUACCCAACCUAAGAUAUCGCAUGCCAACUGAAAAAACCUGGAAGGAGAGAUACAGACAACCAAGACACAUCUAUAUAGACCUGCAAGAAAAUAUUCAAACGUCGGUGCUACUUUCGGGAAAUAGUUCUUCUAAUUUUAUUGUGGAGAAUGGCUUUGAAAUUAGAGGAUACUUAGGAAUCAUCUUCGAGGAAACUUGUUGCAUUGUAGGCCGAGAUUUGGGAUUGAUAUGCAAGCAUGAAAAUGCUAACAUGGUAAUGUAGGCAACAUCCUCUGCGACUUGAUUUUGAGGAAGUGGAAGACGUUGGUCCAUCACAUCCUUUAACAAUUUAUGCUGAUCAUUCGGUGAUGAGGAAGAUGCAGAUGACCAAAGAGAUGAGAUGAGGUUGCCUGGAUGCUUUCCCAUUACUAACUCCAGUGCUAUCACCCCAAAACUAUACACAUCACAUUUUUCAUUCACUUGCAUUGUGUAGGCUAAUUCUGGAGCUGUGUAUCCAAAGGUACCAGCAAAUGAGGUUCUGUUGGAUGAGUCGGGCAAUAAAAGCCUAGCUGUGCCGAAAUCAGAUAUGCGCGGCUCGUAUUCUAAAUCCAAAAGGAUGUUAUUACUGGAAAUGUCCCGAUGAAUGAUUGGAAAAGAGCAAUUGUGGUGCAUAUAAGAUAAAGCAUUGGCCACCCCUUUGACAAUAUUUAACCUUUUGAUCCAAUCCAAUUCUGCUGCUAGCUCUUCACUGCUUAAAAUCAUUCUCAAACUACCCCUUUCUGCCAACUUAUAAACCAAGAAUGAGUGCUUUGAACAUGAACAAAAACCAUAUAACUUCACAAUAUUCCGAUGUCGAAUGUCUGAUAACACUUGAAUCUCUCUUUCAAAAGCUUUCAAGUUCUCUGACUUGUCUUCCUGUAAUGGAUGAAGUUUUUUAACAGCAAACACUCGACCUGAUGGCAGCACAACUUUAUAAACGACUCCACUUCCACCUGCUCCAAUGCAAUAGUUGGAGUUGAAAUCCUCAGUGGCCUCAAUGAUUUUUUCAUAUUGUAAUUCCUCAUCAUGACCAGGUAUCACCAGUAUAUCUUCAUCUUUUGAUUCCCUUGAUUGGGCUUUUCUUUUUCUAAGUCGAAAAAGAAUCAAGAGACCUCCAAUCAAGAGCAACAGACAGAGGGUGGCCAAAACAGGAAGUAAAAUCAGAAUGACAACUUUUUUGCUCUUUGUCCGAGUGUUUUUACCACUUUCGAUAGAUGUACAAGCCUUUAAACUACUAGCAUUGCCACAUAAGCCUUUAUUGUUUCUAUAUGCCUCAAAGGGAGCCUCACGGAAGGCUUUAACAUUAGGAAUAGGACCUUCUAACUCAUUGUAGGAUAUAUCCACAGUAGUCAAGCCCCACAAAUCAACAAAAGUGGUUGGAAUCAAACCAGAAAGCAUGUUAUAGGAGAGAUUCAACACUUCUAGGGUUCUCAAUUGCCCAAGUUGUUUUGGCAUAUGUCCCAUCAACAAAUUUUGACUAAGAUCAAGACUUUCAAGAACGCGUAAAUUGCCCACCUCUAAAGGAAUACUCUCUGCAAAUUUGUUCUUGCUGAGAUUCAAGAACAACAGUUUUGAGCAAUCUCCAAUCUUUUUAGGAAUUGCUUCACUCAGGUUGUUUGCUGCAAAGUUAAGGCGUUCAAGAUCAGAUAACAGUCCAAUUUCUUCAGGAAUGCCUCCUGAUAGCCUGUUAUCAUCAAGAGAAAGUUCGAACAAUGUUAAUUUCCCCAAUUCCUUUGGAAUCUUCCCUUCAAGGUGAUUUGAUGAGAGAUCAAGUAAAUGCAAUUGAGCUGCCAUCCCGAUGUCAGCCGGUAUUGUACCAGAAAUAUUAUUAUUGGAGAUUUUCAGCGUUGACAAGUUGCCAAAACCUUCCCAUUUCCAUGAAAGCUCACCAUAGAAUUUGUUAUCACUCAAAUCCAUGAAGUUCAACUGUGGGUAUAUGCCAAAAUCUUCAGAUAUAUUUCCAGUGAGUUGGUUGGCCUCAAGAUGGAGUCUCAAUAACCUGCUACAAUUUCUCAGGCUUCUUGGGAUGGGACCCGUGAAGUCAUUUCCAUGAAUAGCAAAAGACUUGAGACCUCCACCAAUGCAUAUGUCUUGUGGUAACUGGCCAGUGAAUCUAUUUGAAUAUAUUAUGAAAACUUCCAAAAGAGUGAAGUUGUUCAUCUCUAAAGGGAGAGUUCCAGAAAGGUCAUUCAUUUCAAGGAAGAGUCUAGUUAGCUUUGUCAACUUCCCAAUUUCUCUAGGUAAGGAAUUCGAAAGUUGGUUAUCAGUAAGAUAAAGAUAAGAUAACGUUGUCAAGUUUCCUACAGAAGUAGGAAUUGGACCAGUGAGAUUAUUAUGUGACAAAGCAAGUUCUGUAAGUGAUCUGAGCAUGCCAAUUUCUUGAGGUAUGGAACCAGAAAGUUGGUUGCUAUCAAGAUAAAGAGCCCAAAGAUUUGUCAAGUUACCUAUGGAAAUUGGGAUUAUACCAGUGAGACUAUUUUCUGAGAAAAAAAUCUCAGUGACAAAUUUCAACAUUCCAAGUUCUUGAGGUAUGGAACCUGAAAGUUGGUUCAUAUGAAUGUAGAGAAUUGGCAGUGUUGUCAAAUUCCCUAUAGAAGGUGGUAUUGUACCAGUGAGAAGAUUAUUUGAUAAAUCAAUGUAAGUGAGAGAAUUUAACAUCCCAAUUUCUUGAGGAAUUGAACCAGAGAUUUCAUUGACAGACAAGUCAAGGAUGUUGAGCUUGGAUAGAUUGCUAAUAUGGGAAGGAAUGUUGCCAUGGAAUGAGUUAUUACUAAGGUUAAGCCAGACAAGAUUGGGAAAGGAUGGAAAACUGAAACUCUGAAGCGUACCUUUCAAACCUGUAUCUUUAAGGCUUAUAUUGGUGACACUUCCUGCCUUAUUGCAGAGGAUGCCAAACCAAUUGCAAGGUCUUUAUGCAAUUCAUCAAACAUAAUUAUUCCACCACUAUAAUUGUACUAUGGAAUCGCCUACAAGGUUUUUCACCACAACACUAUUCUCCAAUCGCCACACCCCCAAACAUACACAGAAUUUGAACGAUGAGCUUCGUGAAGGAAUGCAACAGCUAGCUUGACAGCAAGACACUCGUUCAACAGAGGGCGUCGCGUCUGGGAGUGAUCGAAACUUUAACAAGCAAGGAGCGGCAAUGAAGAACAGAGGAGCGUUUUAGGUUUGUUAAGGUCACCUAUCCUUAAAACUACGUAGUUUUAUGUAAUUUAGCACUC
rnacentral:misc_RNA from 1 species